rnacentral:rRNA from 1 species
AAUAUUGCACAAUGGGGGAAACCCUGAUGCAGCAACGCCGCGUGCGCGAUGAAGGCCUUCGGGCCGUAAAGCUCUCUCCUAAGGGAAGAUAAUGACGGUACCUUAGGAGGAGGCCCCGGCGAACUCCGUGCCAGCAGCCGCGGUAACACGUAGGGGGCAAGCGUUAUCCGGAAUCAUUGGGCGUAAAGGGUGCGUAGGCUGCCCUAUAGGUCAGAGGUCAAAGGCUACGGCUCAACCGUAGUAAGCCUUUGAAACUGUAGGGCUUGAGUGCAGGAGAGGAGAGUGGAAUUCCUAGUGUAGCGGUGAAAUGCGUAGAUAUUAGGAGGAACACCAGUGGCGAAGGCGACUCUCUGGACUGCAACUGACGCUGAGGCACGAAAGCGUGGGUAGCGAACA